rnacentral:rRNA from 1 species
GACGAACGCUGGCGGCGUGCUUAACACAUGCAAGUCGAACGGUGAAGCUCCAGCUUGCUGGAGUGGAUCAGUGGCGAACGGGUGAGUAACACGUGAGCAACCUGCCCCUGACUCUGGAAUAAGCGCUGGAAACGGCGUCUAAUACUGGAUACGAGAAGGGUCCGCAUGGGCACUUUCUGGAAAGUUUUUCGGUUGGGGAUGGGCUCGCGGCCUAUCAGCUUGUUGGUGAGGUAAUGGCUCACCAAGGCGACGACGGGUAGCCGGCCUGAGAGGGCGACCGGCCACACUGGGACUGAGACACGGCCCAGACUCCUACGGGAGGCAGCAGUGGGGAAUAUUGCACAUUGGGCGAAAGCCUGAUGCAGCGACGCCGCGUGAGGGAUGACGGCCUUCGGGUUGUAAACCUCUUUCAGCAGGGAAGAAGCGAAAGUGACGGUACCUGCAGAAGAAGCACCGGCUAACUACGUG